GGCAAAUUUGAUUGGUAUCCGGUUAUUGAUUGGUUGUUUUUUUGAGUAUACAUGAGUGAGGUACCUAUUCCUCUGAAUUCAUAAUGGAGGUGUUGCUAGUGUAUUAGAGUUCUCCUGGUUCCUUUUUGGACUAUUGUAAGGGUCUGGUGUAAAUGGUGGAAUACUGAUGUGUGUAUUUUGUUUACUUGGGGUGCUAGCCUGUUUUUCUUUAUGAUAGUUAGUCUCAUUCUUAGUUUCAGUAUCAGCUUGAGUCUUGUUAGGAGUCAGGUCCGGUGGUUGGUAUUCUGGAUUUCUGGUGGUGUGUGCUUAGUUUUGACAUUUUGA
rnacentral:lncRNA from 1 species